CGGGAGAGGCCACAGCAGUGAGAGGCCCGCAUACCGCAAAAAAAAAAAAAAAAAAAAAAAGAAUGACAGAUGUCCCUCACGGCUCUGCCUGCAGUUCUUUUCUGCACUCUUUCUAGUGAGAGCAUCCGGGAAGCCUCACGCCACCCGGUUACUAUUUUAGCCCCUUCCAGUUAGUUUCCCCUCAAAAUGAGUGAGUCUGUAGUCACCCAUCUGAUUGGACGGGGUUUGGAGGAGAAGGAACUUUGGGUGGAAAGAAGCAAAAAAGAGAAGUCGGGCGUGGAGGGGGUCCAAAGAAAAUGCCACAGGUUUUUCCUGGAGUUGACCUGUCUGCCUUUUGUGUUAAAGGCUCCUGUCAUUUUCACUCUGUACUUGUUCAUUCCAGGGCUGUAGGUCCACCCGAUUUAAUGGAGUCGCCACUGUGGGCCACUCCAGGUUUUGCCUGUCCCGGUAGGCGGCCCACGGAGAUUCUUUGGAAAGUGGCGUGAGUUAUCCCUGCGUGUGCUCACCCUUUUCCUGAAGCCUCCCAGACUCCUCUGGCCUCCCUUGUGUCAAGAUCAGCAGAGACCUCACUGUUUUCUAGUUAUUUACCAGCUGGUGCCUUAUUCUCUGCUCUAAUGCACAGGCAUCCAGCACGUGCAUGGAGGAGGGAGGCCCGGGACGCAAGGGGAGCAGGAGGGAGGCUGUCUGACCUCGACUAGGUCUUCAGCAACGGCUUCUCGGAGGAGCUGACAUCUAAGGUUCGUCAGUCUGUCUGACCUUCGUAAGUGUUCACCCCUCACCCCCAAGAGAAAAGGGCUUUGUUACACACAGGAGGAGCUCAGUCAAGAAUUCCUGAGUCAACGCCGCUUACUUCAAAUGCAGUGGGCACUUUGAAAACAAAUGUGUUUGUUUUGUGUGUGUGUCCAGGGCAGCGUCUAUCAGACCUGCGGCGACUUCAGCCUCGGGACGUUGUUGAGCAGAAGAGCCUGUAAGGUUUUAGAAAGGAUUAGCCGUGCAUGCGAAUAGGACCAGGUUCUGUAAUUCUUCCUGAAACCCCUUCUCAAUGGGCAAUUAGGGGAUUAGCCGUACAAUUUGAUCAAAUGUUCAGACCUUUUACAUACUGUACGGUACUUACCGGGCCCAGGAAUAAAUCCAUUUGUCCUCACAUAAGUCAUCCUUAAAAGAAUCGCUCGGCUAAGAGAUUUACCACCGAUACUUAAACUGAAAGCACUACCGCUCAGACUAACACAGCAAAACUUAAUGAUUUUUUUUGUCUCAAACAUCACAGAGAAUUUCAGCCCUUCUUAGAAUUUCACAACAGCACAUCAUCCGUCCCGUGUGGACCGUGCUCCAGAUCAAAGGCCCUGCGUCCACACACGAGUUUCACAUUCAGUCUAAGUAAUUCUUACGGAAGAGAAUGGUAUGACUAAAGGUUAAUUGUAGAACUACAAGGGAUAAUGCCGUGCAUUUGAUGAAGUCAGUGGGCAAUGAAUAGAUGUUCUCUGAAGGACAAGCUUCCAGCAUCUUAAGGAGUGAGUUACUCACAGUAGGGUCGCAGCCUUCUUUGUACGUGAAUUCAGAUUUUCCAUCAAGAUUCCAGCGCAGAGCUUGGCAUUUGCUGUUCCCUUUACAUGAGACAUUCACUUUGAAAAUGAGGGGACUCUUGACAAUGAUUUAAAAAUGUUUUAAAACUUUGUUGAGUUUAAUAACACCCACACACCUAUAUCCAUUUUUUUCAGAGGAGAAGAGGCCAGGUCUUGAUCUUUCAGGAAUCUAGCUGUGCUUCUCUCUCGGGCUCCCUGGCCAUCUCUCAUCUGUGUCCCACGUGUGCUGCCUGUUUCUCGCCUUCUGCCUUUUGUGCGCUGUUUCUUGCCUGGACUGCACGUCCCACCCCUGGUCUUUCUUGUCGCCCAUCGGACGCCUACUUCCUUAGCAGGGCCCUGUUCCAGCAUCACCCCCUUGGGGGUGAUCAGUCUCAGGUAAAGAUGCUUAGACUUGCUUUUGUGCAAUACCCUUACUUUUAUGUAACUCUACCGCUAAACUUUUUAUAUUCUAUUGCAAAUAUUUGUCUGUGUCCUCAAUAGUGGUGACGUGGUGGGCUGGUGGCAGUGAUUUUGUUCUCCAGAAAACAUGUGUCAAUGUCUGGAGACGUUCCUGGUUGUCACGACUUGGGUCCAGGGGUAGAGGUCAGGGUGCUGCAAAACAUCAUACAGCACAGGACAGACCCACAACAAAGGACCGUCUGGCCCCGAAGGCCAGCAGUGCUGAGGCUAAGAAGCCUGGUCACACAGAGUCCUUUCCUCUUAGCCGGAGUUCUCGUCAGCAGGGCCCGACACGCAGGAGGCACCCAAAUCUUUUCAGACGAAUGAAUGUCGUGCAUUUUUUUAUCUCUUCUCCCAAACCCACAGCCGGAGCUGCGUUCAUUGUGGCGCCAGGAACCGGUGUUGAGAAACUGUUUAACUGAAGAGGUGAGUGAAAGAAAUGCCCUUGCACUUCGCCUGGCGACAAGCGUCCCCAGGAGCCCCGUCACCUUCUCCAGUCUCCUGCCCAGUUCACUUCCUUCGGGGCAGGCCCAGUUUCAGAUGAAAAGUUCCUUUUUUCUGGCCCAGAAUUGUUUUGCCCAGAAAACAUCUCCUUUCCAGCCCCGUGGUCCCACGUGGGGAAAGAAAGUAAGAAAGGACGGGGUGCUGGGCUGCUGAGUGAAGAGAAGCAGCGGGGCCUCCUCCCUCGGGCCGCGGGGAGUGAAGUGUUUGGAUAAGCAUCGCUCUGGGCUCAUCUGGAAAGUAUGCGUCUCGAAAGGGAGAUGAGGCAAAAAAUCCUGCUUGAUCCCCAAAACUGUCGCCUGGAGGCUCGGCGCCCCCUGAGAAAACUGGGCGACUCCAGGCUGGAAAAGUUCAGAAACCCAUUAGGCGGCCGCUGGGGGUGCGGGCAGUGUCGAGGCCUAGCUCCGCGGAGGCCACAGGUCAUCGCAGGCCGGCUUCAGCCGGAUGUCGCCGCCCACGCGCCCCUUGGAAGGGAGGUUCAUUAACCUCUGGUCUCACUGAGACCAGACCUUCUCUCACCUGCCCUUUGAAAGAGCUGGUUCCGUUGGCCGUCCACCAGGACAGCAGACAAAGGUGCGAGACGGGGUUGCGGGGUGCGGGCGGGACGCUCGGGCUGCGUGCCCAGGUCCGCAUGAUUAUGGUCUAUGUGGACAAAUUGCCGAUUGUGUCCGAACUGCGAUCACAAAUGAAACCCGACGGUGGGGUGGACCGCGGCGCUGAGAAGGGCAGGAGUCGGUUUCCCCAUGAAGGAGUUCCCGUCUCCUCGAGCGGGGCCCGGGGUGCUACACCUCCCAGACGACUCCUCGAUGGGUUUCCAUUCUCGGCUUUGAGUUGACCCUGGGCAGGAAGAGGUCACCUGGCCCCUCAAUGGUUAACCGUGGCCAAGUGAGCUUCCCAGAAGAGCCCGUUGGCUUUAGAUAUUGCCCUUCUGCUUACUCCGAGGAAGUGGUGUGUGAUUAUGUUUGUAUGUGUGUGGCUUCUCCUUUUUAAACACAUAGAUUACAGGGUGAUUGCACUGUUAUUUAGAAAUCGGUGAGUCUAGAUGGGGCGAGCGCACCCACAGGAGGAGGGCCGGGCACACAGUGACGGUACCACCGGGCGCUCCGCCAGCCCGUGGCCCGACGUGGGCUGCUUGCAGAGACCCGCGUGCCGGUCCUCCUGUCACUGCUGGGUGGCGGCGAGCACACUGCUCCACACAGACUCCAAGGAGCAACUGGGGGGUCGGCGAGGCUGGUCCUUUCUGGGAGCCCCCGUGGCAGGUUUUCACGUGACCUUGUGGAGACCUGGGUAUCAGUUUCUGUGGCUUAUGUUUCGCCUCCUGGAACUUUUAGCUGUAAGUACCAAACGCGCUCGCGAGAUACACUGUAAAAUAAUUCUGCCCAAGCGCCAGCGGAAAACGUGGGCAAUCGUGGUUUCUUUAGGUUGUUUCUGAGACAGGGAUCGCACUGGCCCCAGGGGAACACAGGGUAUGUUCUUGGAAGAAGCUGGUCCUUCAUGGGGUCUGUUUCUCUCUGGCGGUCAGGUGCUGAAUAGGGAAAGGGGAACGGUCCCAGGGUGGUCAGCAGAGGGUCAGAGAUUCCCAGCUGGGGUGACUGUGCCCCGAGAGGACAUUUGCCAACGGCUGGAGACGUUUUCGUUUGUCGGUUUGGGAGGGUGGUGGGUGUGCUCCUGGCAUCGAGUGGGCGGAGCCUUGGGCUGCUGCUAAACGUCCCCCGAGCACAGGUGGCCCCUCAGCGCACAGGAUGCCCAGCCCGAGGUGCACGGUGCCCAGGGGACAGACGCGGGGGGACGUGGCAGUGAGACAGUGCCUCCAGAGCCCCGGCCCCGUUCCACACUCGCUCUUCACUUACCUGGAGGCUGCAGCGCACGGGAGCGGCGCUACCACCUCCUUCGAAUCACACACCUGCAGGCAGCGCCCUUCUCUGUGUUCCUUGGGCCGUUUCCCCCGAACCCGGUCCCCGUAGACCCCGGGCUGCUGGCCCCUCUCUCCCGUCGUCCUGACAUCUACGUGGAGGGGACGUGCGCCCCUCGCCUCCGGCGUCUGGACUCGGCCCACAGGCUCUGCCCCCGCUCUGGCCCCGGCGCCGCCGUGUCUGCUCCUCUGUCACUCUCACGGCCCCGCCCCGCACGCUCUCCCCGCACCCUGCGGGCACCCAGGCUCUCGGCGAGCGCUCGCCUCCCCGCAGCGCCGUCUGCUACCGCCCUUCCUGUCUCUCUGUCCGCGCCCGGCUGACCGUCGGGGUUCUUACGUGAGAAACUAGAAGUAGCCCUGCCUGCACCUGGUGCUGGCGUCUCUGUCCUCUCGUCACGGUGAUGGCCGUCUCUGCGCCUCUCCCAAGACGCCCCCCUGCUGCGCGGGGGCCCCUCGGCUUGCCCCUCCGUACAGAGCCUACACCGGCGUCACUGACUCUCCUCCACUUGGCUUCAUCCCAAACAGCGUACAGACUUUCCAGACUCUUCCACCUAAAAAGCCCUUCCUGACCCACUGGCCGCCCGGCUACUGCCUUACUUCUCCCUCCCCUUGCACAGCAAAACUCUUUACCAACCGCACUCUGGCCUAUUUCCGCUUCCGAUCUUAGCAUCUUCUCCAGCAAAUUCCGUGUGGCCAGUCACGUGGUCAAGGGCCAGCCCGUCUCGUGCUACUUCUGUCAGUAGCAGCUGACAGAUCCACAGCGGUCGUGCCCUCUGUCCCCAGGGCUUCUGGAAUAUACAGGCUUGUCUGGUUGUUGGUCUGUUUUUGUUUAUUUUGGGCCUCACAGGCAGCUCCCUGCCAGCGUCCUUGGCUGGCGCCCGUCUUCCGUCCACCGUCCUGUGCUCCCUGAUGCAGGCCUGGGGCUCUACAUGCCGUCGAUUAAGUGUCCUCCGCUGAUUCCCACACGGCCUCUCCCCGAGCCCCGGACUUCAGCAACGCGCUGUCUGCGCGGCCUCUCUCCUUGGGCGGGGCUGAGGCUCCGCGGAUUUUAAAUUGCCGCCGUUAGAGCCGGGUCUUCCCCCUCUCGUUUGCUGCCCUGACACAUGAUCGUUGGAGCCUCGACUCCUUCAUUUUCCUCACCCUCCUGGUCUAAACUCGACCACGUCCCAUCCACCCUCCCUGGAAAGCCCGUGGCUGGUGUGGCCGAGGCCCCCGGCUGGUCUUCUGCGGGGACAUUGCUGCUCCCCUGUCCCCUGCACCCCCGGCCCUGGCCCUGGCCCCGGCCUCUCUCCCAGUCUGAUCUCUUCAGUGGCCGCCAGCGUGACCUUUAACAUGUGCAUUAAAAGCAGGCCCCUCUCCUGACCAGGGCCCUCCAGGGGCUCGCUCGUCCUUAGGAUCUGGCCAGGCCCCUCAUCUUGGUCCCCUGCCCUCAGGCCCCGGGCCUGGCUCCUCUGAGGACCGGCCACUCCCACGCUCAAGCUUUGGGGUCAGGCCUCAGCCCCUUUACCCUCCCUGUUCCCUCUGCCUGGGACCUUCUUGCCCAGGGCCUUUCCAUGUGCUGCUUGUAUAACCCGGGGCUUAUUAAAUUUCACCUCCCAGGGCAGGCCUUGCCCACUGCUGUGCUCAGGAGGUGACCUCCACCCGCCUUUCUCUUGUUUUAUUUCCUGCCUGGCCUUGAUCACCCGACAGUGCACAUUCUAUGUGCCUGUUACUCUCUCUUCCCUGUUAGACUAUCGGGCCCCCCGGGCAGGGAGUUCAUCUCUUUCAUUCACAGUACAUCUCUGGUGCCUGGAACAGUGACGGGAACAGAGUGGACGCUGGCUGGAUGCCUGUGACGUCCUCUCCCCUGAGACGGACCAAGAGAGAGACUGAGCCCAAAGCUUCGGUUCCCGCAGUCCUGAGAGCAGCAGUAUAUCGCGGCGUCUUUUUCCAUCGGUCUUAAAAGUAGGUGGAGCGGGUUAGUCAGGAAUUCCUCUUUUUCUCUAAAAUUCUUGGGGGGAGGGUAACCAGGAGUGUGGAAAGCUGGCCUCGGGUUUUGGGCACUCUGAUUGCUUGUCCGAUGCUGUCUCUGUUUGUUGUGUGGUCUUGAGCCAUGGACUUCGUCUUAAAUUUCCAUAUCCUUCCCUAAGGGUUGACUUGUUUGCUCUGUUAAAAUGCAGACACCUCUGGGAGACGCAACAUUAAAGUUCUACUAGAAGGAAUCGGGAGGCUCUUUUCUCUAGCUCCUCCAGGGGGUGCUGGACAGGGGAAGUGACCUUAUUCUCACUCUGCUGAGCUCACGCUAGAAUUGAAGAGUUUCGAAAAUUAUUGCUAUUCUUUCCAAAAGUGAUUUGAGGCAAACAGCGACAAACCCAAGAUUUGUUAUUCUUAUUGUUGCUAUUAUUUAUUUAUUGUUAUCAUUAACAAAAUCUGUGACAACCGUCGCAAUAGCUCUAAAAUUGUACCGAAGAUAAAAUAACCAAGACUCUAGUCCUAGUUCUUCUAUGACCAGAGUGAAAGGACUGUUUCAGGCAGUUCACUUCGCCGACGUUGGCAGGUUUGCAAAGCUCACGUGAGUUCCUGGGGGCAUCGGGCUAGGGGAGCUCGAGUCCGCCCCGCCCUCAAACAUGGAUCUUCCUCACGUGAUCUUCCCCGAGAAGCCGUGUCUGGGAACCUUUCAUGUUCUUUAUUUGUGCCACGUGUACUCAUGUGUUGGUGGUGUAUUCUACCGUGAAUGUUAAGGCAGGCUAUAUAUCUAUACAGAAAAUAAAUUUAAGGUUAAGUACCUUCUGGAGCAAGGUAGGUUUAAAAAAUGAAUAGCUACGAAGUUUUAUUUCAAGGAGACAGGAUAGCUUUGAGUGAUGAUUAUCCUUGACCCAGUUUCUGUAUUUUGCUAAGAGUGUGGAAAAUACUUUUGCAAUUACAGGGGUUGGAUUUGGGCUUCUUGACUCUGUAACGAGCUUGAAAAAGGCUGUUUAUGUAAUUGAACUCAGGGCCCAGCCUCACCAAAGCAGCAAACAAGUCACUCUGCUGUUCUCAGCGCCAGCAGUUAUUACAACCCCGCAUUGCAUCACUUUUCUUUAUAUAGAUCAUCAGUCACUGGAACCUCUUCAGGUCUCUCUUACCAUUCUCCCCCUUGGCCUUAAAACAAGUUUACUGAGCUAAUUCAUUACCCUUGCUUUUGAAAUAUAAGCAUUGAUUAGCAAGUUUAUGCCAAACGUCUUACGUAAGUUUUUCCUGGAAACUGUGAAAUCUAAUCUGAAAAGGAAAGAAGGAACAACCUUUACAGACGUUACUAGAACACACGCUGAGUUUUCUUUGUUGCUGUCCAGUUAUCUCUGUAGCUUUGUUUUGUAAUUGGAAAUAGACCCCAAAGCUUCUGAUUGUUUCAGGCAAAUCAGGAAAUGAAUUUAGGUGUUUGAUCCCUCCUGGCUAAUAUGUGUUGAUUGGUAAAGUGAAAUUUUCCCUCUUACUUUCACAUUUCAAAGAGUUAUAAUUAUUCUUUCCUUUUCCCUUAUACUCAGAGAAGAGAAGUCGAUUCAAUUGAGAUCACUUUUUAUCAACUGCUCCCUGCCCCGCACUUUUAAAGGACAUAUUUAAGUAGCUCUCAUUUUAGAGAAGAGCAUUUUGCUCAACCAGCCGCUGCCUAGGUUUCAUCCUACGGUCUGUGCCUCAAACAACUGGCCUCCCCAGAAAGUCUCCAUUGUAACGACCGCCUGUCCCUUAAUUACCUGCAUCUGUCGUCCUUCUAGAGGCUACCAGGCACUUUUCAAAUACCUGAUCUUUCCUCCACCUUCUUUCUCUUCAUCUGCUUUGCAGCACUUUGCACGAGGGCCACGCUCUGUCCUUCCAGCCCUCUCCUCCUGAGGCUUUGCGACGUCGAAGCCCCCGGUCCUCUGUCUUCUGACCUACUCGUCUCCUCUGGGCUGUUCCCCGGGGGUCGCUCUCCAAGGCUCGGGUUCCCAUCAGUGCUCCUGCUCUCUUGUCCCGGGUAAACAUCUUUGUGUCACGACUUCAGCUAUUACUUCACAGCUGAGACACGCAUCCCUGGAUCUACUCUGUCUCCAUCCCCGUGUCUUGGACUGUUUUCCAAAGCAUCUUUGCUCUGACGUGUCAUGAUCAUCUCACACUCAGCGUGUCUGAAGCCACGGCAACACGACUGGUUUCCUUUUCCAAGUCCUUUGUUUCCAUGAACGGUGUCACUACUCUUCUAAUUAAAUAGUUUCAGAAUCUUGACAUAAUCUUUCGUAUUUUCUUUUUUCUCUCUUCUCAUAUAACUACUUUGUAGAUGAUGAUAGGUACGGGCCGUUUCUGUCAGUUUCCACAUUACUCCUCAGUAUUACUGAUAAGUUAUUCCUAAGUGCAACUGAUAGCAUGAUUACCUGCUUAGAAAGACGUCUUAAAUUUGAAUGAUCUGACCAGUAGCCACGGGACGAGAUCAUACUAAAACUGGAAGGAUAAUCACGGUGCUUUGAGUCAGCCUUUUGACUCAGAGUAACUUCUAGGGCAUAAUCUUAUCCACCCAUCCAUCCAUCCAUCCAUCCAUCCAUCCAUCCAUCCAUCCAUCCACAGCCAUCCACCUACCUACUUACCUACUUACUUACCUAUGAACUGACUAUUUCUCUCUCAGGGUUUCUCAGCCUUGGCACUGCUGAGAAUGUCUUUACAAAUAAUUCAGUGUUCUGUAAGUAAUAUUAUAAUAUUCAGCCUGCAUUGUCUACCUGUAUUUAUUUUUCUAAAAAAAGACUGGUUGAAGAAAUUGUUUGGACAAGCCCUUAUCUGUGGCUUCUGGUUAGAGGAUUUAGCAUGGUAAGGAAUUAAGAGGCACCAAAGAAAGAGCUUUGCCCAGUGGAAAUUGGAAGACAUUUUAUUUACAAAUGCAGUGCAGAGUACAGAAUGCCCUCUUGGGCUCAAAGCCCAGGGCCAGCACUUUGCUUGUUCCGAGAAGCACGCUUUUCUUAUUUCUAAAAAUGAGAGUAAUUUUACCUAUUUCAUAGCCCUGUUGUAAGUGGUAAAUGAAAUGUUUGUAAAGCCUGGACACAGUGCCUGGCACGUGGAACAACAGAGCAAGGCGAGCUCUUGGCCGAAACAGAGGCGGCGGGAUUGCUGUGGUUGGAGUUGGGUGGGGGGUCUGGACCGAAGCUCACCCUUCCCGCGGAGGCCCAGCCCUGCCCACCUGGCCGCCCGGUUCCCUGGGGGCUACUCCUGGCUGCGUCCCCGGCUGAGGUCAGCUCCGUCUCGUGGCUGUGAGGACGAAGUCGCUGGCACACACAGCAUCCCAAGCUGUGAAUUGUUUGGGUGGCAGUUUCCGUGGGUGUGCAACACCGUUUUUCUCAGUCGGAGCAAAGCCCUCCCCGAGACCCCACGCGGACCGGAGUGGGAUUUGGGCUCUGUGGGUCUUGAAGGCUGACGGCCACGGAUUCACACCUUCGUUACAACACGUUUAUAAACCUACUUUAUCGUCAAAAUGAGGCUUGUGCUGCAGGAGUGCUGUUCAGUUUAACGCACGAUCAGCCCUCUUGGAGAUGAAAAUACCAGCCGAGAGAGACGUGCCAGUGCAGGGGAAGAGUCGGCCUGAGGUCCCGCCCUCAAGGCUCACCCCACGUGAGCCCUGGGGUCCGAGAAAACCUGCAUGUCAAUUUCAGCUUUACCUCCUUCCAGCUCUUUAUCCGGCAAUAGUAUCUCUCUGAGUGUCUGCAGAGAUUAAAUAAACCAUUGUACGAUCUGCCCAGCACCGCGUGUGCAUGCAUAAGUCUUUUCCAUGAAAACGAUUUUUCUGUUACUACGUCACGCAAAAAUGUUGGGAAGAUUUUCCUCAAGUGUGAAGCUUGCGCUGGGGUGUCUGGCGGAGGCGUCAAGACGCUGUUAGUCAGGGGAGGCCGCCUCUGGGGCGGUGGACGUGACCUCACAGGCCAACACUGAAGAGCAGCCUCGCUCCUUAGCCCCACUGACCCCAGUUCCAAGGACGGGAUUGGCUCUCGGUCACUGGGUCCCGGUCCAUCUUGAGAAUCUUCCGAGGGCCCAGACAGCUUUAGGUUUGAGGUUUACCCUUGUUGGUGUGAGAACUGUGGCCCCAAAGCUCAGCCCCGGAACCUGCCUACGGAACAGGUGGGUGCCUCCCCUGGCCACCCCUCCCCAGCCCUGCGAUGGGCCGCUUCCGAGUCCUGGCCCCUGCGGGUGUCCCCGCCCUGCCCUCUAGGCUGUGACAGAACAGCAUGUGGCCUGCAUGCCUGCCAACCUGUACGAAGCAAGCCCUGGCCCCUCAGCUGGCUCCUGUGAAGGGAGGUGGUGAAGUCGGCCUGUAAGUGCCCAGGGAGGAGGCCUCAGAGGCUCAGGUGCCAGGCGGCUGUGCAGUGAGGGUCACACCAGGAGCGCACCGGGCAUUUGGUUUAAAAUUCGCUGACGUUCACUGUGUCAGGAACCCUACUGGCCUUGGAGUGAGGGAUGGAAUGGGACGUGGUCUCCGGGGCAGCUGCUGGGCCAGCCGGCCCAGGUCUUCGACCCCGAGCACAGUCGGUGGUCCAGGUCCAGAGGCCCGUGUUGGAAGAGGGGACAGUUAAUCAGUGACGAGGUGCUGCGGCUCCUGCCAGAAAGGAGCUUUCUGGUUCUCGCAGUCUUGCUCUUAGCUGGUAGAGUUUAAAAAGAAACUAAGUUGCUGUAAAUACCAUUUUCUUGUUAAGAAAUUCUAUUUUCUGUAGGUGGAUAUGUUGUUUGUCGCAUUUAUUAUUCUUUCCUCUCACACCUGAAAACAUCCCAUCCAACGGUCCAAGCUGUGGACAGCACGGUCCUCCUGGCAGCAAAAAUCAAUUGAGGUGCUCAGCGAUUAGUCACUGACGGAGGGAGGGCUCGGCCCUUGGUGUCGAUUCUAGAGAAUCAGGGCCCCGGGGGCCUCCCUGGGCCCCUCCGGCAGCCCUUCCUGCCACGCUUGGUGCCCAGGGCAAGGGGUGACCCCGAGGGAGGGGACAGGCUCUCUCCCGGAGGGGUCGGAGGGGCUGCUUCCGUCUGUCACCAGCUGGGGACCCCCAAGCCCUGCCCUGGGCCCCGUGCAGCAGCGCUCCCCGUGCGCUGAGCCCCCAGCUGUCCUUUGCAGCUCUGUCCUCCGGCAUCCCCUGUAGCUCCUGCUCUGUCUGCAGGGCCCUGGGACGCAGCUGGGGACAGUCACAAGUGUGGGGGCAGCUGCUCUCGGCGGGGAGGGGGCUUCGUGUGCCCCGAGUCGGAGGCGCACAGGCCAAGUCUGCAGCUCGAGCCCCGCAGGCCGAGUUCGAGAACACUGGGCUCUCAGGUGCCACGGGGGCUGAGACAGGGCAGGACACUUCGCUGGGGGAUGUUCCGCGUCCCGAGGGGGAUCUGUGCUGGUUGCAGCUCGGGGCUGAGGAGGGACCGUAAACUUGUUCGAAUCCUGCAGGUCCCGGGUUUCUGGGGACCCGAGGCUACGAUUUGGGGGCCUCUUUAAGAUUCAGAUGACAAAAUUCUCUUUUUUGUGUGUUUGUUUGGUUUUAUGAUUAUCCAAAAUAACAAUAGCUUUUAAAUUGCAUAUAUAACAAAUGAUCACGUAGAAAAACAGUACAGAAAAUGUAAGAAAGUCAACAUCUGGAAUUUUACCCCGUGUGCUGUGUCCACCCACCCUGCAUCCUUCACGUACUGAGGGCCUCUCUCCUUUCUGUUUUGUUCCCUCACCUCCACCCGCUCAACUCCCCACCUCCGUCCCCUGGGGACCGAGUGAUAUUACAGAACUGUCUUCAUGUUCGCAUCACUGUAUCUGAUUACUUGGGCUGAAUCACACAUACGUGGAUGUAUUUUUGUCAUUUUUUAUUUUGCUAAAAUAGAAUCUUCCUAUGUACACUCCUGCUGCAUCUUGCUUAGACCCCUGUAGCCAUUGGUGUCGAUCUUUCCUUCCCAACGUUGUAUUAGGAAGCCUUUUAAACACACACUAGAGUAGGAAGAAUCUUAUUUAGAAAAACACCCUUAUACCUGCUACCUAGAGUCUACCGUUAAUCUUUUCAUGGUUAACCUUGAUUUUCCAUCUAUCCAUCGCUCUAACCACCCAUCAUCCCAUCUUAUUUUAUGUUUAAAAAUGUAUUUCAGAGCAAGUUUCAGGCAUCGGUGUACCUGCCCCUAAAUGCUAUGCCUGUGUCUAGCUACAUACUUAGCUAGUGUUCAUUCCUUUACUCUUCCUUCUGAGAUAACCCUACUUAGAAUCUAGAGCCCUAACCUUGGGGGUGUCGUGUGAUGGGCUUUGGCAAAGGUACAUACCUGUGUAACCAGAUCCCUUCCGUCCAAUGCCGUCUGAGUCCCCCCAUGGGUUUGUCCCACCUUCUCUAGAACCUCUCACCUGGCCCUGCGGCUUCCUUCACGCGGAGUCCACCCGGAUCACGGCAGCAGCCGGACCGUGUCCCUGACCCUGCCUUGUGUGUCCCUCCAGGAGCCCCACUUUGUGGGCGCCCCUCUCAGCGGGUUCAUCCUCUUGCUGGGCGACACCAGGGCUGUUCUCUAGAAACUGCCAUGCGGCCCGUUCUUCUGAAUGGCUGUGAAGUUUCACUGUGCCCGUUCACACGCAUGUCCUCACACGGUUCUCAGUGAAUAGCUAUUUAGUUCUCUCUCUGACUUGCGACCACCAUGAACACGGCAGUGGUUGACCUGAAAAGGCCUUCCAUCUACUGAAGCUUUCACUUCCGUCGGCUAAAUCCCUGGGAGCGGGGUGGCUGGGCUGAGGGAUGUGUGCUUCUUCACACUUUUUUAAUAGAGUGUCAGCUGCAGGCCCUCACAUUUCCACCGCCAACCUGUGAGUUUCUUUGCCGACCUCCCUACUGGUGGGUGUCACCAUGUCAGAAGGAUUGUCCCUACCGAGACCACGUUGGUGUCACCGUCCUUCCUUUUCUUGGCCACCCGUGGGGCUGAACUUCUUUUCAUACACAUGGUGCCGCUUGUAUAUUUCUGUGAAUUGCCUCAUUUCCUUGGGCCACUUUACUUUGGGUUGUAGGUCUUUUCCUUAUCUUAACAAUUUGGGAAAGCGCUGUGCCUGUGACGGAAAAUUGGCUUUACCUACAAAUCGUUCCUUUCAUUGUAUGCAUUGCAGGUAUUUGCCCCCAGCGUGUCAUUUACCUGUUGAUUUUAAGUAUACUGUAUUUGCCUUACAUGUUUACAUUUUUUUCUGUAGUCAUAGGUAUGUGUAUGUGCUAUGUAUGUAUGUUUGCGUGGUGUGUAUACAUGUGUGGAUACAUUCUGAGCCCCCCUCCUUUUUUUCUGUUUGUUGAAAGAUCUUCCUAUGCUCUAGGUCACUUACAUAUUGUCCUGAAAUUUACUGUAAAUUCCUGCAAGUCUAUUUUUGCAUUGAGGUCCUUCCCUCGUUCAGCGUUAGUUUCACGUGAGGUGUGAGGCACCGUCCCAAUUUUCUUUCCCUCCACAGAUGGAACGCCGUGUGGCCAACCUCAUCUAUUUAAUAAACCCACCUCCACCCACCAAACUGAAAUACCAACUGCGUCAUUUAUUACAUUCUCCAAUAAAUUAGGAUCUGUUUCUAGAAUUCUGUUUUGUUUCAUUAACCUAUUUGUCUGUCUUUAUGCCAAGGUCAUUUCAUUUUGUUUAUCAUGUUAGAGGGAUUUUAUGGUGUGUCUUAGCAGCUGGUAAGGCAAGUCCCUCCCAGCCCACUGCAGCCCUCCAACACACAAAAACACCUUUUUCUUUGCUAUCUUUGGUCAUUUAUUUUUCCAUAGGAACUUUAAGAUAAGUUAAAUCCACAUUUCUCUCAAACCUAAUAGGAUUAAAAUUGCAGUUUUUAUAUUAUUUAUUAAUUUUUGGAUGAUUAAAAAUUUAUCAUACUGAAUCUUCUCAUUCAAGAACAUGAUAGAUUUUCUGCUUUGUUCAGACCUUGUUUUAUGUCUUUUGAUAAGAUUCUAUGGUAUUCUUCAAAUGACCUGAGCAAUAUUUCUUAUGGAAUGUGUUCCUAUUUUAUAGAUAUCUCUGUUAAGAAUUAAACAUUUCCCCAAUAUCCAUUUUUAGCUAUUUAAUACCAGUAUAGAAGAACAGUUAUGAAUUUUUCUGUGUUUAUCUUGUACACAGACACUUUAUUAAAUUCUUUGAUUAAUUCUAAUGCUUUCUUUUUUUCUCCAAGUGUCUUGAAUUUGUUAGGUAUAGAAUCACAUCACCAGCAAGGAAAGAAGGUUUGCCUUCACUCUCCCAAGGCUUACAUGGGCUCUUUUAUUUUCUCAUUUCAUUUGCCAGAUGGCUAAACCCGCCCUGAAUAGUCCCGGUGGGAGUGGGUAUCCCUGCUUCUUCCUGCUUUUAGUGCAGCUGACUUAGAGUGUCUUCAUUUACAAGGAGGUUUGUUGUAUUUUGGUCCUCCAUUAUAUAGCACAUAUUCAAUUUCUAUUACCACUUAACUGAAGUGUUGGUAGAGCAGCCGUUGAAUUUUUACGAAAGGUCUUUCUCUUCAGCAUCAGCGGUGUGCUUGUGUGAUGUUGCUGUUUCCAGAUAGUAAAUACAUGUUCAUUCUUGGGUUAAAGCUGAUUUGAUCAUAUUCUGUUACAUUCUUUUGAGACACUUCAGAUCUCAUUCAUUUAUCUUUUAUUCAGAACUUUAAAUUCAUAAAUAAUAUUUUUCUAUAGGGUUUUGGGAGUACUGUGAUAAUCUUAUCAAGCUCUGUUAUUAAGGAUAGACUAGCCUUAGAGAGUGAAUUAGGAAAAUUUUCAUCUUUUUAUAUGCCAUAGGCAAAUAAAUACGACAUUAAUAUUCACCCUACAGAAAUACUAGACAAGACUCAGCUCUGAAACCAGCUGCCCUGGGAUCUGUUUUGAUGGUACAUCCUUAAUCACUCUUUGAGUCUCUCCUAUAGUAUACUCACAUUUUUUUCUUCUUCAUGGGGAAAUUUUGCCUUUUUCUAUUUGUUAGAAAAAUCACUAAAUUUUCCCUAGAUUUUAACUUCAUUGCCCCAGAGUUACACAUACUAUUUACUUUUUAUUCUUAUAAUUCCUUUUGUAUCUGUAUUCUUUCUUCCCUAGUUUUAUAUAUUUCUUUUACUUUUCUUUUUCUUAAUCAGGCCCAUGAAGACAUUAUCUAUUUUAAUGGUCUUUCCAAGUAAUCAGCUUUAAGAUUUAUUUAUCUUUUCUACUUUUUUUUCUUAUUCUUCUUAAUUCCAGCUUAUAUCUUUAUUGAUUCUUCCUACUAAUUUUUUCUUACACUUUUUUCCCCCUAAUAUCUUCAGAUAGAGCAGUUAGUACUGCUUUAGCUGCAUCUGUUUUGGUAUAAAGUAUUUUUUUGAUUGCUUUUGAGAUAGAUUUAACUUGAAAUUUGAUUUUUAAUAUUAUGAAAUGGAUUAUUUAGAAAGAUAUACUUUAGUUUCUAAGAAAGCUUUUUUAUUAUAUUUUUCUAAUUUUAUUGGAUUAUGAUCAGAAUAUCCUAACUUCCGUUUUUCUGUUAGAUCUGAUUCUGCAAGGAGUGUAUUAACAAAUUCUGCUGUAAUUGUUUUUUUGGUGAAUACAUGUUUGUGACUAUUAUAUAUUUUUUAUCUUAACGAGUUAGAGAAAUCUUUAUAUACCUUUAAAUGACAUCUUUUUGUAUGAAUAUUGUGACCCCUGUUUUCAUCUUGCUUGCCUUCCCCUAACAUCUCUGUCUGCUUCCGCUGUCCCUUCACUCAUGGAUUCUGUCCACCUUUAAAGGCUAGCCUUGUGCAUCAAUUUGUAACAAUUUAACAUGCAGAUAUCAUCAUAAAUCCUUACCGGAGCAAGGAGGGGAAUGAGUGAGAAAGAAAGAAGGAAAGAAAGAAAAUGAAUCGAUCACUAAAUAAAGAGAAAUUUGGAGAUUCACCCAUAAGGCCAGGCAAUGGACACAAUAAGGAAGAUGCUCUGAACUGCUAACAUGGUGACCCGACCACGGAGUUGGGAACACUGCUGCAUCCGAAGGUUCAGUGUAUUUUGUUCCCCAGCAUGAGUUUCGGGAAGAAGCUGGACGCCUGUUCACACCCGCAGCCAACUUCGCUGGCCCCGGGGCAUCGCUGGAUGUGGGCACGAUACUCGACGAUGAGUUCCACAGACGCAUUCCUGUGGUCUGCCGUUGUUUUUAGUGAUGUAGUCACUGCUUUCAAUGUCUAAUUACAGGAUUUUGUUUAUUUUUAAAAACAGUGUAAUCUUGAUGUAG